UGGGGAAUAUUGCACAAUGGGGGAAACCCUGAUGCAGCAACGCCGCGUGAAGGAAGACGGUUUUCGGAUUGUAAACUUCUGUUCUUAGUGAAGAAACAAUGACGGUAGCUAAGGAGCAAGCCACGGCUAACUACGUGCCAGCAGCCGCGGUAAUACGUAGGUGGCAAGCGUUGUCCGGAAUUACUGGGUGUAAAGGGAGCGCAGGCGGGAAGCCAAGUCAGUUGUGAAAACUAUGGGCUCAACCCAUAGACUGCAGUUGAAACUGGUUUUCUUGAGUGAAGUAGAGGUUGGCGGAAUUCCGAGUGUAGCGGUGAAAUGCGUAGAUAUUCGGAGGAACACCGGUGGCGAAGGCGGCCAACUGGGCUUUAACUGACGCUGAGGCUCGAAAGUGUGGGGAGCAAACA
rnacentral:rRNA from 2 species